rnacentral:rRNA from 1 species
AACGAACGCUGGCGGCGUGUUUAAGACAUGCAAGUCGCACGGGGCGGCAUGAGUAGCAAUACGAUUGCCGUUCAGUGGCGCACGGGUGAGUAACACGUGAAUCACAUGCCCUGCAGUGGGGAAUAGCCCAGGGAAACUUGGAUUAAUACCCCAUGGCCUCGCAAGAGUAAAGGCGGCCGCAAGGCUGCCGCUGCGGGAUUGGUUCGCGGCCUAUCAGCUAGUUGGCGGGGUAACGGCCCACCAAGGCGACGACGGGUACCUGGUCUGAGAGGACGUUCAGGCACACUGGAACUGAGACACGGUCCAGACACCUACGGGUGGCAGCAGUCGAGAAUAAUUCACAAUGGGGGCAACCCUGAUGGUGCAACGCCGCGUGGAGGAUGACGGUCCUCGGAUUGUAAACUCCUGUCAGCCGGGAGUAAGACCUGGCGGUUAAGAGCCGACAGGGUUGAUAGUACCGGAAGAGGAAGGGACGGCUAACUUCGUGCCAGCCGCCGCGGUAAUAC